GUGCUCAGUGCGGCAGCACAUAUGCUGGAGCUGGAACAAUGCAGAGAAGAUCAGCAUGGCCUCUGCACAAGGAUGACACAAGGAUGUCACAAGGAUGGCAGCAGUUC